rnacentral:lncRNA from 1 species
AGAGUCCGCGCGCAUCGCCCGGCUCCGCGGCGCCAGCCAUGGCGUCCGUGCGUGGCCCCGCCAGGGAUGGGGCGACGCGGUCAGAGCCGCACGCGACCGAAAUCCGCACUCUGGAGCCGCAGAGCGCGCGGUCUUGCUGUUUAGCGGCUCCCUGGCAAGUGACGUGGGGAAGAAACGCAGGGCGCAGGAGAGACAGCUGGAAAGGUUUGCGGUGUAGCUGGCCCAGGAUUGAGGGUCUGGAGGUCGGGUGUUGGAAGACCUUGAGCGAGGCACUUCUUGGCCUCCCCAGCUGGGAGGCAUCGCUGAAAAAUUAGGUGACCCCCAAGACGGUAGACCAGCAGAGUCAGCGUCACCUGGGCGCCGGUUGGAAAUGCAGAUUGGCAGGUCCCACCCCCAACCCCUCCCGACUUGCUGAGUCAGCAUCUCUGGGGGUGGGGCUCGCGCGCCCCCAGCGGGACGCCGGUGCGCGCAGUAGCUUAAGAAGCUGGGUCCAAGGCGCUGGUUCUCAAACUCCGCUGCAUAUUGCAAUCACCUGGGAGCUUUUUAACCUCCAAACGCCCAGGCUGCCCCCGGACCAAAUGACAGAAUCUCCGGGGCUGGGGGGGACGGGGAUAGAGAAGCCCAGACCUAAGUAUUUUUUUAAGCUCUUAAAGCGAUUCCAGUGUGCUGUGAAGGUUGGACCCACGGUGUGGUCUCUGGACAAAGCAGCCCCCACUCCAGACCUACCGAACCAGGGAAUCUGCAUUUUAACAGGAUCCCCAAGUGACUUGCAGGCGCCUUCGGUUUGGGAGAAACAACUCUAAGGUGUCUUCUGACAUUAACAAUCUGUGAUUUUGUGAAAUCUGUCUCGUUUUGUUUAGCGGGCUAGCCAGGCCCCGUUUUCUUCAGCUUCUCCCUUGACUUGAUCCCUGAAGAUGGCUCUGCCUCUGGCGCCCUUGAAAUAUGUCGACUAGGUCAUGAUCACCGUGCAUUCUGCUCAGCGUAGUCUCCCCGCCUGAAGUGUUAUUAAUGCAGUCUAAAAUGACUACGGUUCUGCGGUCUACCGAACUGCCCACGGAGGUAGGGGUUUCAGACUUUUGGCAUCUCAAGAGACUUGAGAUUACCGAGACCACGAUACCCCCAGAGACGUGACGAGAUGGGAUCAAGGCCACGGGGGACCAGAAUGCUGACCCAGGCAACCUGUCCCUGCCUCGCUGCCCUUUGUAAUACUCCUUAUCAUAUCAUGAGGAGCUAUUUUCCGUUCUCCACAAACUUGGUGGUGGAUGGAAGAGGAUAUCAAGCUCACCUUGAGUGGGAUUGAGGUAGGAGGCGGGGCUCAGACACCAGACCAGAUUGAGGACAAACUAAAGCAAGGUCAGGGCCAAAGCAGCUUUCCAACAGAUAGGACCACCAGGGUGCCACGUCAGUUUACCGUUGCCAUGUCAAUACCAGGGAGUUACCGCCCCUUUCCGUGGCAGUAACCCAAUAAUUACCACCCCUUCCCUAGAAAUUUCUGCAUAAACCGCCCCUUAAUCUGUAUGCAAUUAAAAGUGUGUGUGUGUGAGUGUGUGUGUGUGUGUGUGUGUGUGUAUGUGUGUGUGUGUGUGUAUAUAUAUAUAUAUAUAUAUAUAUAUAUAUAUAUAUAUAUAUAUAUAUAUAUAUAAAACUGCAAAACUGCCCUGAGCUGCUCCUCUCUGCCUAUGGGGGAGCCCUGCUCUGCAGGAGCAGUCACGGAGCUGUAACCCUGCCUCUUCAAUAAAGCUGUUUUCUUCUACCUCUGGCUUGCCCUUGAAUUCUUUCCUGGGCAAAGCCAAGAACCCUCCUGGUGGAAGCUCCACUUUGGGGCUCACCUGCCCUGCAUCAGGAUUACAGGUGGGAGCGUUGCGGAGUAGAGCGAUCCGCUGACACUGCCUCUGGUCUGCAUUGGGGAAUGGCGGCCGGUCGGGCGGGGUCACAGACCAUAGCUUCAAGCUUUGUUCUUGGGGAUUCCAGGGACUGAAAAGUGGGUGCUUUCUGGCUACCUAGCAUCCACUUCCUCUCUUCCCCAUGCAAAGAGGCUGAAGUGAAUGGCGUCAGUCCUCGCCCUCCUCAGUCAAGGGGCAGACACUAUCUGAGAUUUAAAUCCUGUCCCCACUAGCAGAGGCCCUCUGAGGCCAGUCCCGCCCAGGGACACUGCCAAGGGCUUCCUGGCUCUAGGACCGCCUUGGGUUUCUGCCCCUUCAGGCUGCUUCUCCAGUCCUCCCAGUGAGCCUGUGUCCUCCUCAGACCCUUUGGCUUCUGUCUGCAAAGUAAGUUUCUGUCCUAACUUAGGGAGUGAUAAUAUUCAGAAUUUCUCUCCAUUUUCACGGUUGAGAUUUUGGCGCUAAAAUCACAAACCCAAAUAAAAAAAUAAAUAAGAACAAAUAGCCUCUAGUCUAUAUUCAUAUAAAUAAAUAACUGAAUGAGUGACUAAAUGGGGGGAAAGGGCAACUCUUUUUUUUCUUCGAGGCAAGAUGUCACUCUGUCGCCCAGGCUGGAGGGCAGUGACAUGAUCUCAGCUCACUGCAGCCUGGCCGACAACUCUUUCUUGCAGAAUUCCAAUUAAUACAUAUGGAAGGAAUGAGAGACUUGGCAAAUCACCACUGAAACACUACUGCAAUCAUUGCUGCAGGCAGGGUCCCCAGAUGUGGCAAAAUUAGCUGGGAAAGCCUAAGGAGAAGCAGGAUAUUUGCAUAGUCUCAAAGCAUCUCUCCCAAAAUAGAUGUUUAUCAAUAACAAAGGGAAAAAUAGUAACUUUGCAGUGAACAAAACUGGCAUCACCACCUUAACCACGUGACCCAGGUUUACCUCUCCAGAAACGUGUUGACAGAGGAGGCGCUGGGAAGAGCGCAGCACCCCGGAGGUUUUCCUGCCCAACAAUGCACAAUCUCAUUAUGAGAAAACAUUAGACAACCCAAAUGGAGGAACAUUCCUACAAGGUAACUGACCAGUACCCUUCAGAAGUCUCAAGGUCACAAAAGACAGGAAGACUGAGGAACUGUCACAGAUUAAGGAGACAAUGACUCCUGUCACGUGAAAUCCUGGAUUAGAUCUUGGGACAGAAAAAGAGCAUCAGUGGAAAAACCAGUGAAACACGAAUAAACUUUCUAGUUUAGUUCAUAGUACAGUGCCCUUUUUACUUCCUUACAGAUUACUUCUCCAUUAGAGUUGUACUACAGUUAUGUAAGAGGUUAAUAUAAGGGGGCACUGGGUGAAGGGUUCAAAGGAACUCUACUAUUUUUGCAACCUUGUCUGUCUAAAAUGAUGUUGGCCAGGCAUGGUGGCUCAAGCCUGUAAUCCCAACACUGGGAGGCUGAGGCAAGUGGAUCACUUGAGGUCAGGAGUUUGAGACCAGCCUGGCCAACAUGGUGAAACCCUGUCUCUACUAAAAAAAAAAAAAAAAAAAAUUAGUCAGGCUUAUGCAGUGGAUAGAUUCUGUAAUGUUGGAAAGAUUCUGUGGGAUGGAAAGAUUCUGUGGGAUGCAAAAAGAAACUGUGUCUCUGAUGUUGCCAUUUUCACCCCAGGAUGAUUUGCUUUACAACGUGCUGUCUGCAAAUAAGUUUGUGGUUAAAAUUUUAGUUUACUCCCCAUGAUGUGCUAUUCAUCUAGUUUCUUCUCAUCAGGAAUUCUGGAUUUCUUAUUUGCCUCUUAAAAAGUAAAACUUUUAAAAAAUUUAUGAAAAUAUAACCUCAUUUAACAAGUUCAUUGACUUUUGACUAAUUGCCUAAAGACAAUCCACUGCUUACCGCUAUUGGAGAUACUUAAGAAAAGCGCAGGACAUAGCCUGGUAUGAAGGGAAUGACUGGUGGAAUUAAGAAGUCAGGUUUCUCACUCUGCAAGUUACAAACAACCACUGGCCUCAGUUUCCUCAUAUUUAUCAAACAAGCAGUUAAAUGGAUUGAUCUUUAAUGUCCCUUCAGUGUAAAAAAGUUCAUUAUGCUACAGGUAUUUGUGCUUUGAAAAUAGCUUUAAAGAGGGAAUUUCAGAUUCUGGUUUGAUCACUUAAUCUAUUUUUAAAGCAAGUGUGUAUGUCUCCUAGGUGCUGAUUCGGAGUAGAGUUCUAAGUCCUGCCAUGGAUUGUUUUGACUUAUUAAACAAAUUCUCAUUUUGUGUCACCUAUGUAUAGGGACAUUUUGGAGAUCUCAUUAGUUAAUGUUAAAAUUUAUGGCAGACUAAACCUACUGAGAAACUUGUGCUGACUUUAUCAGCUAAUUUUGUGAAUUUGCAAUUUCAGCUAAAAUUAAACUAUAUUUUUCAGUAGUCUUUUUUUUGUAAUCUGUUUAAAAUUUUUAGUGGUAGAUUAAGCUAAAGCAAUAUAUGCGUAUCUGUUUAAGCCAAGUAUUUUGGAGGUUUUUCUGAAUUGUUUACCAAGGUUAAUUUCUUUUGUGGGGGGGGGGGGGUCAGAACCUUAAAAUUACCUGCUGUAAUUUGUUGUUUGAGAUGUGUUCUUUAACUUUGAAAAGUUAGUGUUUGUAAAAAAAAAAUUUUUUUAGUGAUACCAUCAGGUCACUUGAGCUCUUUUAGGAAAUAAUUCUGUUAAGUGAAUUUUUUUGUUUGUUUAGAUUAAGGUAUAAGUUCUCUUUUGACACUAGUCGAAUUUUUAGGAAAGAUGGAAUUUGCUGAGAGAAUUCAGUGGCUAUUGUUACAGUGACAUUAAUAUAGUUCUACAUAAAAUUCUACAUGAGAUUUUUCAUUUCUGUAUUUCUAAUGUGGGUAGAUCUUGGUAUAUUGUAUUAUUUUAAUAUAGCUCAAAACAUACUACAGCACCCUAUGGUAUUUUACAGAUUUCUAACAAAAAAUUUCUUCUCAUUGACCUCUUUUACUUUUGAAAUAUUAAACAAGUGGUUUAAAAAAUAAUUUUUGUUUUGAAUGGAGUGUUUUUGUCUUCUUAGUUUAAAUGAGGAAGCAAUUUCUGUUUUAUCUUGGUCACUGAUUUAGAGCAUGGACUGUGCUCAUCAUUCAUUUCUAGGAAGAAAUUAGAGUAUUCAUUUCACAGAGAGCUACAUAUUGUUUUCUUCACCACCCUCUUGGAGGAAAGGUAGGGUUGAUAAUUACGGUUUGCCCUGGCCACAUGCUUUCACUCAUGGGUAGGUGAGCUAAAACAUUCAUAUCACCAUGAUGCUUCCUUUUCUUUCCGUCUUAAAUAGACAGGACAAAUGAGGAAAGGCAGCAGAUUUGAGGAAGAUGCCAAACCCAUGGCUUGGGAAGCUUGCCAGUGAAGUUGAGCAGGCAGGGCAAUCUAGAACUCAGGCCCCUCCAGAGGGCAGGUGCCUGACUUUCUCACUUCAGCUGUGUUUCUUCAAGUGUGGCAGAGACUCCUGUGUUAGGAGAGCCCACGGGGCCAUUAACAUGCGGAUUCCAGGCCUUACUACAGACUCCAGGAUCAGAGCCUCAGGGAGUUGGGCCAGGGAGUGUGUAUUUUUGCUCAAUUUUUAUUAUUGAAGCUUUGAAGCACACAGGGAAAUAGAGCAGUAUAAUGAACACCUGUUACCAUUCACUUGGCUUCAGUAAUUUUUUUUCUAAAGAAACAGAUUCUCACUCUGUUUCCCAGGCUGGAGUGCAGUGGCGUGAGUAUAGCCCCCUGCAGCCUUGAACUUCUAGGCUCAAGCAGUUCCCUUGCCUAUGCCUCCUGAGUAGCUGGGGCUUGAGGCGUGUGCCACCAUGCUUUACUCGUUUAAAAAGAUUUUUGUAGGCCAGGCGCUGUGGCUCACGUCUGUAAUCCCAGCACUUUGGAGGCUGAGGUGGAUGGAUCACGAGGUCAGGAGAUCGAGACCAUCCUGGCUAACAUGGUGUCUCUAUUAAAAAUACAAAAAUUAGCCGGGCGUGGUGGCACGCGCCUGUAGUCCCAGCUACUCAGGAGGCUGAGGCAGCAGAAUCGCUUGAACCCGGGAGGCGGAGGUUGCAGUGAGCCCAGAUCGUGCCACUGCACUGCAGCCUCAGUGACAGAGCGAGACUCCACCUCACAAAAAAAAAAAAUUUUUUUUGUAGAGAUGGGGUCUUGCUAUAUUGCCCAGGCUGGUUUUGAACUCUUGGCCUCAAUCAGUCCUCCUGCCUUGUCCUCCCAAGGAUUAUAGGCGUGAGUCGCUGUGCCUGGCCAGUUGUUAAUAUAGAUAUAUUUAUCUGUAUGUGUGUGUAUUUAACACAUAUCCUAUCCUGAUGUUGCACCUCUAAAUACUUCACCUCAAAUAUGAAAUGUUUAGAAUCAUUCUACAAAGCUACAAUAUUAUUAUUGCACCUAAGAAAAUUAAGAGUAUUUCCAUAAUUAUCCUUAAUUCGUAAAAUCAUCUAAUAGCUGUUUUGUACUCAGAUUUGCCUAGUUGUCCCCAGCAAAUUUGCUUGUGGGUUUUUUCUCCCCUCCAAUCAGGGACUUGAUAAAAAUUUAUGAAUUAUAUUGCUGUUUCUUUAGAAUAGUCCCUCUCUGUUUUUUUUUUUUUUUUCUCAUGACAUUGACUUUUUUCCAGUGUCCUGUCCAUUUCUCUUGUCUGCUCAUAUUUUGCGUUUCCUGAGUGUCUCUUGCAGGUGUCGUUUGCACUCUGUAUUUCUAGUAAACUUGAAGUUGCAUCUAGGGGCUGAAUUACAUUCAGGCACAAAUUUUUGUCAGAAGUACUGCUUUCUUCAUGUUGGCAUCAUAUCAGUAGGCGCCCCAUACGUGUUUUGUCCCACUAUUAGUGAUGCUAAGUUUUAUCCCUUGGUUAAGGUUGCGACUGCCAGAUUUCUUUAUAUAAAGGUAGUUUUUCCCUUGGCAAUCGGUAGGUAACUUGUGGGGUCAUAUGUUAGCAAAGUAUCAGUGUCUCUUUUCCUAAAUACCGUUUACCUUAUGGUUUUAGUGUCUUUUGGGAAUCCUUGCCGGAAUCAAUUAUUAAGUAGUUGUUGUUGGUGGGUGUAUGUGUUUUAAACAGGCUCCCUGGUAAUUCUAACCUUUAAGGUUUGAUAGCCACUGCUGUCCUAUUAAUAGAACUAGGAGCUGAGUUAUCAGGUCUGUUGAAUGGGUUGCCAGUAAACAGUUAAUGAGUUUAAGCUUCGUGUUCAUUUUAGAGAAACUAAGAUCAAUAAAGUGCCUCCUAAGGCCCCCUAUGUCCUAGUUUAGUUGUUGGAGAGGACAUGUGUGUGAUACUUGCAGUAAACUUGAGGUGAGCCCUGCUAGUGUGUUAGAAUGUAUGACAAAAAUCCAAGGAGAGUGGAGGAGGCGUAGAGAAAUUACUAAGGAGGAAAGGAAACUAUAUUGAAUAUUCUGUUUAUAUAUAUAGUCUCACUUAAUUUUCACAAGCAUUUUGUGCCCAUUUUACAGAUGAAGAAGUGAGCUUAAAGUGAUAAAGUAACCUAUGGCACUGGUGGAGGAAACUUUUGAAGCCAGAGCUCACAGAGCUGUGGGCGGGACAGAAUUAGUUUGCUUUACCUCUGGGACGUUGUUGUCUGGCUUAUUGAAGAUGGAGGAAUGAUAUUCUUCAACCUCUGGGGCCUCUUGGUAUAUAAGCUGAGGUUCUUUGAGACCUCUGAUGUCUAGUCUAAUGUGUUAAUAUUAAACUCUGCAGAGCUUAGGGUAGGCUUGUAAGUCUUGUAGUUGAUUGUAACUGCUGAUGAAUCAAACAGCUGAGUAAUAUUAAUACCUCUGGGUCUGUGUCUUAGGACACAGUUUUCAGUACCUCACUCCAUUCUCUUUCUCAGGGUAGAUGCACCUUACAACCCCGUGACUUCCACAUUACACAAAGGAAUAUGUAGGUUUGGCAUACCCCACAGGUCCCAUGUAAAUACUGCACUCAAAUAUGUUGGUUCUCUGUUGACCUGUUGGAAACAUUGAGAACAGCAGUUGUAUCCCAAGGAUAUAAAGAAGCUGUUUUCUUUUCUUUUCUUUUAUUUUCCUUUCUUUUCUUUUCCUUUCCUUUCUUUUCUUUUCUUUUUUCUUUUUUCUUUUCUCUUUCUUUCUUUCUUUCUUUUCUUUCUUUCUUUCUUUCUUUUCUUUCUUUUCUUUCUUUCUUUUUUUUUGGGACAGUUUCACUCUUGUUGCCCAGGCUGGAGUGCGGUGGCGCGAUCUCGGCUCACUGCAACCUCUGCCUCCUGAGUUCAAGUGAUUCUUCUGCCUCAGCCUCCCACGUAGCUGGGAUUACAGGCAUGAGCCACCAUACCCGUCUAAUUUUUGUACUUUUAGUAGAGAAAGUGUUUCACCAUGUUGGUCAGGCUGGUCUCGAACUGCUGACCUCAGGUGAUCUGCCCUCCUUGGCCUCCCAAAGUGCUGGGAUUACAGGCGUGAGCCACUGCACCCGUCCAAAGCAGCUGUUUUCAAACCUUGGCUGUGCAUCAGAAUCACUUGAGGAGCCAGAUAUUUGAGAUCUACCAUAAGAGACUGUAAUCCAAGAGAUCUGGGAUGGGCCCAAGAAUCUAUAUAUUUAAAAAAUCUAGGUUUUCAGAAAGUUCCCUAAGCAGUACACAGACAGGGAUGAGAAGCAUAGUUGUACAGGCUGAUUUCUGCCAAUAUCUAUGAGUUAGUUAUCAAGGAGAAGGAGCAUAUGUUAGAAUUGCUUGGGAAUUUGUUUUUUGUUUUUGGUAAACUUUUUAUCACUAGGCAUCUUAGAUUUAGAGGGGCGGAAUGGAUAAAAGAAGGUCCUCAGGUGAUUCUAAUGGAUUACCAGUAUUUAAACAAUCUGAAUGGACCUUUUAGCUGGAGUGGCUUGGCAAAAAGUCUGUAUUAACCAAAGAGUUGCUGUUGCCAUAUAUUAUGCCUGGAUUUAGAAUGCAGGAAAGACAUUUAACAUUAAAAUUAUGACAUAUAAUUGAGGAUUCCUUUGAUCCAAAAGCUUCUUUCUUUGGAAGUUUGAAGUAUUUCAAGGUCAUUAUUAUGAACACAGAUGAUCCCCAUUGGUGCUCAGAAGUGCCAGGUUAGAGGCAUUUUAUUAUGCUUGGAAAUUGAUAUUUCAAUCCAGUGAAUUUUGUGUCUCAAAUUCAGAAAUGUUAUAUUUGUUGUAAUCAGUGCCAAGGAUAAGAUUCCUAAAAAGAAACUGGUGAAUGAAAGAGGAGACAUGACCUAAUAGAUACUGAGUGUCAUUAGAGACAGGAAAGAAGGGAGCAGAGAAGAAAAAUGGCCUACCUACAUUUUGCUUGAUAGAUUCGUGGGGAGAACAGCCAGGAGAGGGGAUGAGGGGGAGUUGGAUGGUGUUUACUGGUAAGAUAUUAGUGUGGCACAUCAGCAAGCAUCCCUGCAUCUGUGCACACUCAAUACCUUCCCUUUGCACUCCACCUAGAAAUGUACAUGGGGAUGGUGAGAAAAUCCGAGAACCUUGUAACGGAGAAGCUCAGGGCCAGAAAUCCUAGGAGAGGCUGGGCUGGCAGAGGUGGGGCCUGGGGUCUGUGGACUUGCACAGGGCAGGGAGGGUUAGAUCCUCUGCUCGUUGGUGAUUCCGCAUCAAAAUGAGCAGAACUCCAAAUCUGUCAUUUUGUUUGGUCAUAAGGAAGACAGCUUUUGAGUAGUCAACAGAAGAGUUAAUAAAUCACCCUACACUGUACAUUUAAAAGAUGCCACUUUGCCUUCAAAGCUGAAGAAAACUCUGAAGGAAAAGAUGAUGUCUUCCAAAAAGGAAUUCUGUGUUCAAAGUUUAAGCAAUCAAGUGGUUUUGGUUGGGCCUAGAGGGUGAUGGUAUAUAUGGCUGUGGGUUGGAAGGGAAGAGAAACUACAAUAAAGGACUCAUUACUCAGUUUGCAGAUGAAACAAAAGUUGUCAAAACGAAGCUGAAGUUAGAGACAAUCACAUGAUGAGUUUGGAAAAACAGAAUUUGAAUGUGUUUGUAGCAUUUGUGGACUGUGUUUGGGGCGUCCACUAUUUGAUAGGAACUGCAUACUAAUUUUUAGGUAGUUUCUGAGCUGUAAUGUGGGAAAGGGUUGGUGUGUACCCAAGCAGGCCUUUAUGAUUAAAUGUGAUAUGUGUCAGGCAUGUUACCUGGUUUUGGAUGGGGUCUGAUGAGGUUGAAGUGUAUUUUUUUGCUUAUUGCUUGGCAUUUCAACUCACUAUCUCAAAUUAGCGAUGGGCUCAUACCUACUGUAAUGUGAUACACACAUUCCUGAAAAACCUCUCAUUCUGCAAAAUCAUACACUAAAAAUAACAGGGCUGUAGAAAAAAAAACAGGAUUAAGGCCAGACUACUUAAAACUAUGUAACUUUGUAAGUGGAACUUUAACAAAAGCAAUGACAGUUGAAGUAAAAAUACAGGGAGGCUUAACUCUUCCUUGAAACUUGCGCUCAGCAUUAUACUCAGAUGAUUGUAGGGGCCUUAUUUUAUCCUGGGACAUGUUCAUCCUGGGUUAUGUAGAUUCAUUCUUGGAGAUGUUAGUUUAUUCUGCAGGCCAGUUUCACUAGAAUUAAAGCUCUGUUUCAGAGUGUAGCCUUCAUGUGCCCCCACACCAUCAUUGAGUGAUGGAGAGCCCAGCAGAUACUGAGGUGACUAAACCAGCCACCCCCAUGCCCACUGCUUGCACAAAAGGAAGGUGCUUUGAUAUGACUGAUUUUUCUUAGGGUUGUUUUCUUUUUUGUUGUUUUUUUCUAAGUCUUUCUCAUUAUUUGUGAAAAAAUCUUGGCCCUCAAUAGCUUCAAAACGUUAACAUGCUGGGAAGAACCACUCGUGAACCAACACUCCUUCUCCAUGAUACUGUUGUCAUUCCCAUUUUGCCAGUCAUGUGGGAAGGAAUCCAUGUCCCGGAGACAUGUGUUGCAGCAGUUCUGACAUGUUUUUGAAUCAGCGAUGGUGUCACGAUGCAGCUUUUGAGAAUGUCAAGUUUCAGUUGCAUUGGGAAGUUCUUGUUUGGGAGAUAUCCUAUAGUGUUUCAAGGUUAAGUGACAUUUCUUACCUUUCUUAUGCUUUGUUGGCCCUUGUCUACAAUAAAGAACUGAAGUGGAGCUAUUUUUGUCCACUUUUACAUUCUGCCUCCAAAACCUAGCCAUAGGGUGGGAUGCUAUAAUUUCUUGAUGCAGCAUUGGUAUUUGAACAACACACAUGAAGCAGGAAUGGUUUUACAUUUUGGUUCAUUUGAAAUAUGGUUAUAGUGAGGUUUUAAAUAAAUCAUCUGAGCUACAGUAAACAAAAAAAGAGCAACACUAGCCAGUUGUCAAGGAAAAGACUGAUGGGUAGAAUAAACAGACUGCUUUCUGCAGUCUAAACAAUCUGUUUUCAUGGUUUUUUUCUCUUUCUUUUUGAAGGGUGAUUGGGAGAACUUCCAAAUUAAGUAGAAGUUAGUUAAAUAUGAGAGGCAGUAAAUCCACAAUGCGUAUGUUAGUGAUUAUUACAGCCUGUUUUCUCAAUAGCUCUAAUAACAACAAUGUCAGUGACUGAACACAGUAGAACAGUAUUGUUUGUCGUGGGGUGGUAUGGCUGGUGGUGGCUUCGACAUCCUCAGGGCUCAACACCUCAGCAUUCAGUCAGAGAAAGGAAAGAAAGUAUAGAGAAAGUAUAACUGUUUCUUAAAAACUCUAGCUUGGGCCAGGCGUGGUGUCUCAUGCCUGUAAUCUCACCACUUUGCAAGGCCAAGGUGGGAAGAUCACUUGAGUCCAGGAGUUUGAGACCAACCUGGGCAAUGUAGGCAGACCCUGUCUCUACAAAAAUUAAAAAUAGAUGAGCUGGAUGUGGUGUGGCACACCUGUGGUUCCCAGCUAGUUGGGAGGCUGAGAUGGGAAGACUACUUGAGCCCAGGAGGUUGAGGCUGCAGGGGCCUGUGAUUGUGCCACUGCAGCCUGGAUAACGGAGCAAGACUCUCUCUCUGUCUCUCAAAGCCCUGGUUUGAAGUGAAGUGAAACACAUCACUUCCACUCACAUGCCAUUGUGAAGAACUAGCCGUGGACCAUACCUAGAUCAAGGGUGGCUGGGCAACACCUUCACAUCACAGGAGAGGUAGACUGCAUUUUGGUGGAUAGAGACUCAAAGAAUUCUGUGUAGAUCAGGUACCUUCCAGAUUAAAGUGGGAUGGGGAUGGGGGGGCAUGAAUGUGUCUAUGUGUGUGUAUGUAUAAAAAAAAAUGCUAUUGAUUGCAGAGUACAAGAGACGAUUUCCCUUUAAAACUUUGAUUUCUGUUUUGAUUCGGGACUUGGCAAGCUUUUUCUGUAAAGAAGUAUUUUAAGAUGUGUAGCCACAGAAGGCCUCUGAUGCACAGUCCCCUCGAAAAAUAUAAAAAGCAUUCUUAGUCUGAGGGUGGUACAGAAAUAGCCCAAGCCCUGUUUCCAUCGAUCAGCUCAAACAGGUAACUAUUUAAAUUAGCUUUUAAAAAUAGUUGUGAAGUUUAAUGAAGAGUGAGUCAUACUAAAUACACUAAACUAUCUUGAAAUUAUACAACUGGAGUUUUAAAUAAUUUUUCUUUAGAUGAUAUUUCAUUGAGGUAAAAAUGGCCUUCAGGGACUCAAUGAAAAGUAUUGUAGCCAUGUGCCCAAGACUCAUCAGUGUUUCAGGUCUUAAGGAAAAGUUCAUCUGGUUGAGGAAAGAUUGGAUCUUGGUUUGUGAGCACAGCUAAUGUACUCUUUCAAAAUCAUGUCCCAUCAUUGGAGACUUUAUUGGGUGCCAUCUCCCAGGAAACUAUCCCUAAAAGUGACUACUGAUUCUCAUCUGUUGAAUAUAUAGAUCACCAAAUAGAUAUUUAAAAAAUGUGAAAAAUUGUACGUACAUUUAGAAAUUUACUCUAAAACCCCAUACAGUAAAUCUUCACUGUCAUCAGUGAGUUCUUAGAAACUGCAAUUUGAAGUGAAACUACGUAUAUGGAAACCAGUUUUCCCAUAGGCUAAUUGAUACAAACAAGAUUAAGUUUCUGUGGCAUAUUUCUGUUCACAAAAACACCACCAAACUUUUAAGUAAAGACCAAAACACUUCUAGCAUUAAACGUUGAAAUAAAUGUGAGCCAUACCUAUAUUUAAGAAAGAUUAAUGCAACGUGAGAUAAUUCUUACCCACUUAUUCCACCUGGUCACAGGUGGUCAGAGCCUAUCCUAGGAGCUCAGGGCACACGGCGGGCACCAGUCCUGGACAGGGUGCCAUCCCAUCACAGGGCACACUCACACUCACACCCGCACCCAUGUCCUUAGACUGGGACCAGGUAAAUGCGUUAAUAAACCUAAUGUGCCCAGCUUUGUCUGGGAGGAAACCCAGGUACCCAGAGAGAAAAACCACCAGACAGUGGCCCGGUUGGGAAUGGAUUUUUCUUAUCAACUGUGUAACUAAAUGAUGGUCAAUGAAACGAUGUUAUUUGAGGAUGUGCUGUAUACUAAAAUAUAUGGAAUUCUAUUUGGUUUGUGUGUUAGUAACCCCUGGGGAUGGAUUCAGAUGAUCUGAAAAUUCCUUAUUGAGGCUGUGCAUGGUGGCUCACACCUGUAUUCCCAGCACUUUGGGAGGCUGAGGCGGGUUGAUUGCAUGAGCCCAGGAGUUUGAGACCAGCCUGGACAACAUAGUGAAUUCCCGUAUCUACAAAAGUGAAAAAAAACUAUAGAAAUUCCUUAUAAAGGUGUUAAAUAUCUAAAUAUGACUUAAAUGUAAAACCAAACCAGAAAUGUUUUCAUCGAAACAGGUCAGUAUGUUUUGUAAGUUCUUAUAGAAAACCAUAAAAUAUUUAAAAAACAGAAAUCUACCAUUCUAGCCUUGAAGUUUCUAACAGUCAGCUGUCUUAAAAUACCUGUUCAGUUAGUUCCAAGUGUUAAGUUACAUUUUCUGACAUUCUUAAUGGGCUUUUAAAAAUUAGGUUACUAAUAAAUGUAAUAUAAGUGUGUGUGUGUGUGUGUGUGUGUGUGUGUGUAUGUGUGUAUAUAUAUAUAUAAAAUAUGUAUUUAUUUAGAGGCUAUUUAAUAAUUUAAAAGCUCCUUUACAUAGUAUCUCCACCAGUUGAGACUGUACCAGGGGUCUGCAUGAGGGCUCUUGUUUCUUCUUAAAAAGCCAAAAUCUGUGACCUGUGUGGCUAAUAAGUAAUUAUUAUCUUCUCAGACUAUUGUACUUGAGAGAUUAAACUGCAAAUUAUAAUUAGAAUAAAACUAUACUCUGAAACCUUUAACAGUCUCUGUAUGGUGGUAGAGGUCAAAUAUACACUAUGUAUGAGAUAAUUUUUUUGUCUAGCUGAUCUUAUUAAUAGAGUUUUAACACUUUUCGUUAUAUUUGCUUAUAUUAUCUGGUGCCGGCUCAGUCUUGCCCUUACAGUGGAAUCAUCUGUUGUAGCCGGGGGAUAUUAUUGCCCAGACUACAGACAGUCCUGACUUGUUGGCAUUGUAUAAAGCAUGCUCCAGAUAAACACUACUAUGUACAUUGCUUCCAAAAGUUCAUAGUACUGCAAAUGUUAUAACCCUUAUGCUGUGUUUAAACCCUUAUUCCUGAGCCUUUCCGCUUCAUGAGCCCACUUGGCCAGACUUUCCAAAAACCGUAUUUAGGGGCCUUAUAGUAAUAUUAAUCAACACAGAUCUUAGGACCUCUUUUCAAGAUCAAAUAAAAAAUGAAUUGGUUAACCUCACAUUGUAGUUUAUUUUGACUAGCACAGAUGUAAUCUUAAAUAAUUUUUAAAAAUCCAGAAAAUAAGCCAGGUGUGCUGGCUCAUACCUGUAAUCCCAGCACUUUGGGAUGCUGAGGUGGGAGGAUCACUUGAGGCCAGGAGUUCAAGACCAGCUUGAGCCCAGCAUGGUGGGACCCUAUGUCUUCAAAAAGUUAAAAAAAAAAAAAAACUAGACAGGUGUGGUGGCGCAUGCCUGUAGUCCCAUCUACUUGAGAGGCUAAGGAAGAGAAUCACUGGAGCCCAGGACUUUGAGGCUGCAGUGAGCUACACAAGACAAUAAGUGCUAACAGGUAUGUGGAGAAAUUGGAACCCUUGUGCAAUGAUGAUAGGAAUGUGGAAUGGGGCAGCUGCUGUGGAAAGCAAUAUAAUGAUUCUUCAAAAAAGUAAACAUGGAAUUACCACAUGAUCCAGCAGUUUCAAUUCGGGCUGUAUAUCCAAAAGAAAGGAGGGUCUCAAGGAGAUAUUUGUACAGCCACAUUCAUAGCAGCACUAUUCACAGUAACCAAAAGUGGAAGCAACCUAAGCCUUCAUCAACACAAGUGAAUAAACAAAAUGGAUACAAGACGCAUUCAAAGGAAUGUUUCAGCCUCAAAAAAAAGGCAAUUCUAACACAUGCUGCAACAUGGAUGAACCUGGAGGACAUUCUGCAAAGUGAAAUAAGGCCACCAUAAAAGGACAAACACUAUGUGAUUCCACUUACAAAAGGGCCGUGGAGGAGUCAAGUUCAUAGAGACAUAGUAGAAAGGGGGCUGCCAGGGGCUGGGGCGAGGGGAUACGUGGAGUUACUGUUAAUAUGGCACAGAGUUCCAGUUUUACAAGAUAAAAACUUGCAGAAAUGACUGAUGAUGCAUUGUGAAUGUAUUUAAUGCCACUGAACUGUACACUUGAAAAUGGCUCAGAUGGUAAAUUUUGUUGUAUAUACUUUGCCACAAUUAAAACAAUUUUUACAAAUACUCUAGAUGUUUUUAUUUCUUGCUAGCUCUACUACAACUUGAAACACACAAAUGAACGAACAAACAAAAUCUUUUUCUCUUCCUCACUUAGGACUGUUGCCCAACUUAAAAAACAAAACCACUGCUAAUAUAUCCACACAGGUGACCCAUCUGACUUCAAGAUAUGCCUCUUAUCAGUGUCCUGGCCACGCUGACCAGCUGAGGACCAGUCUCAGAUGUCACCUAAAAAUACUUUAAAACUGAUUACUUGCACUUCUACAGCACAGUAUGACCAUGACCAGGUACAAAGUUAGUCCUGGUGUUAAUGCGCCACAGUGAUGCCUGUAAUGACAGGGUUUAAAAAGACAACCCCAGUCUCAUUAAGGCUGAAAUUAUUCCAAUAAAGGAACUGUGUGGUAUUUUAAGUCAGAAGAGUGCUCUUUCAAAUUCCCCAUCCUACGACGUCACCUGUGGUCAUGGGGCUCACCACCACCUUAUAGCAAGGUCAACAGCCUGGUCCUCCCUUUUGGAGCCCAAGUCCCUAGCCCUGCCAUGGACCAGUUAACUUGGGCAAGGUAUUUACUCUAAAACCCUAUACUGUAAAUAGUGUUUAUUUUGGUUAGAAAGAUGAGGAACAAACUGGGCGUGGUGGCUCAUGCCUGUAAUCCCAGCACUUUGGGAAGCGAGCGGAUCGCUUGAGUGUGGGAGUUCAAGACCAGCCUGGGCAACAUGGUGAUACUGAGACUGAGAUGGGAGUGUGGCUUGAGCCUGGAAGGCGGAGGUUUCAGGGAGCUGAGAUCUCGCCACUGCACUCCAACCUGGGCAACAGAGCCAGACCCUGUCUCCAAGAGAAAAAAAAAAAUCAGGAACAGCUUUGUGGAAGAAGAUACUAUGUCAUAGGGUUGUUUUGAGUUAAGAAUUAAUACAUGCCAAGUCUCAGAAUAGUGCUUGAUGCAUAUAGUAAGUACGUACUGAAUGUUAGAUAUUAACAGCUUUUUCUGCCUGGCUCACUACCUGCCCACAGUGUUGAAGAUUUGACUUGGCAUUGAUGAGGUUCUUCCUCACCAAAUUUUCUUCCUUUAUAUACCUUAUCUAUUCCUCUUUCCACAUAUAUAAAUAUACAAAACAAACCUUGCUUAUGUGUUCAAAAUAUUAAUAAAUUCUCCAAAUAAAGGUCUAACAAUGUUAAAGCAAGUUACAAAUAUGUCCCUAUGAAAUAAUUGUUCUCAUUGUUGAGUGGAACCAGAAGAAAACUAUAGUCACUUUGUAAUCUAGUUUUAGGUUGAUAAUAUGCUUGUAUAAAAAGGCGAUCCAUAUUCAAGAAUAAAAUUAGGCAAGCAUGUCAUCUGAAAUACAGUCUGUCUAAAAGUCAAAACAUUGUCUAGCACCAAAGAAUCUAAAAAUGCUUAUAUAAGUUUUUAAGAAAAAAUUUCAUUAUGAAAUAUCAUACAUAUGUAAGCUUUUGACUGAAAAACGUUCACCACUCUUCAGUUGAUGAAGAAAAUAUUGAGUAUAAAUUGUUUAUACAACAACCCUUUAAAAUCCCCUCACCAAAGAUGGACAUUAACCAACCAUUUCUCAUCCUUUCCAAGCAACAUUACCAACAAGUCUUAGUGCACUUGUUACUCUCAGGUCAAAGACCUUUUUUGGUUCCUCUUCAUUCAUAGAAUACAUCCCAAACUUUUAAACAAAAAGUAUGAAGCCUUGUGGGUCCAGAAGACUUCUAACCCUGUAUGUCAUUAUUGUAUUGUGUUUUAGCCCUGACUUUCAUAAUGAAUUGUUACAACAUUUUAUUAUUUUUAUAUUUUAGAGACAAGGUCUUGCUCAGUUGCUCAGGCUGUAGUGCAAUAACAUGAUCAUAAUGCACUGCAGCCUUGAACUCCUGGGCUGGUGUGCUCCUCCUGCCUCAGCCUCCCGAGAAGCUGGGACUACAGGUGCAGGCCACCACACCUGGCUAAUUUUUAUAUUUUUUUUGUGGAGUUGGGGUCUCAAUGUGUUGCCCAGGCUGGGCUUGAACUCCUGGGCCCAAGCAUUCCUCCCACCUGGGCUUUGCAAAGCCCUGGGAUUGCAGGUGUGAGCCACUGUGCCGUCCAGUCAUGACAACUUUGUAUUUCAACCAAAUCCUUCUCCUGCCCUGUACUAUUUGUCUCCAUGCUGUUGCACAUGCUGUUUCCUUUACUUGUUCUCCACCAGGGAUGAUUUUGCUUCCCCCACCCUUGCAGGGUAUGUGGCAUGUCUAGGGACUGGUUGUCACAGCUGGAGGGGUGCUACUGGCAUCUAGUUGGUAGAGGCCAAGGGUGAUACUAAACUUACUAUGAUACAAGGAGAGGCUCUCACCACAAAGAAUUUUUUAGUCCAAACAUUCCUUGUGCCAUGGUUAAGAAACCUGACCUGGACAGUCAUUUCCCCUGUUCUUUGUUCAGGUUCCAGCCAUUCUUUAUGCUCUCUUGUUACCUCUUCUGUGAAAGCUGGUUCUGUUCAUUCCAUCCAGAUAAUCACUUUUGACUUUGAAUUUUCCCAGACAAAGCACUUUUGUUACUUAAUACCUUUUAUUAUUUUUAUUUUUAAUUUUUUUUGAGACAGGGUCUCAGUCUGUCGCCCAUGCUGGAGUGCAGUGGUGCUUAUCAUAGCUCACUGCAACCUCAACCUCCCAGGCUCAAACAGUUCUCCCACCUCAGCCUCCCAAGUAGCUGGGACUACAGGUUUGUGCCACCAUGCCCAGCUGUUUUUUAUUUUUUUGCUUUUUGUGAAGAUGGGGUCUCGCCAUGUUGCCCAGGCUGGUCUUGAACUCCUGGGCUUGAGCAAUUCCCCUACAUCGGCCUCCCAAAGUGCUGAGAUUACUGGCAUGAGCCAGUGUGCCGGGCUACUUUUUAAAAAGUCCUGUUUAUAAUCUGUUUUCUCCCUUGGUAAACUCCUUUAAGGUAGGCUCCGUAUUGAUUGAUCUUUGUCUCCUGCACAGUAAUUUGUAUAUGGUGGAGAGCAUUAUCUUUCUGGGUGAACAAACAGUGUGAAAGUCCUGCAGUGUUGACACCGAGCAAUUGGGCCAAGAGCACCUGAAUGAUGGUUGGUGAGGACAUUGGAAGGUGGAGGAGUCCCCUGAUGAAACCUGAGUUGGGCUUCUGUUGAAGGGUAGGACUGAAACUCUAGUGUUUUGAGGGAGGAGAGACAAGGCUAUGUAACUAUAAAGAAACGUACUUGUGGACACACACACAUGUGCAUAUCAGGGAAGUAUUUAAUUCUGAUAGUACCUUGAGAAUAGCCUCAGCCAACCUGGAGGGACUGGUGGCUCAGAUGGUGGUUUUAAUCUCUUGACUUUGAAAUGUUAGGUGGACUGAAAGUAUGUAGAGGUUUAUUUUAAUCUGUCUUUUCUGUAUGGUGGCUAAAGUCCAGUAUUACCCACUAGAAAAUUGUCAGUUAACAGUUACCUAAAGGAAUCUACGUGUGUGACAGCUGUCCACCUUGCAGUGGGUCUUCUAGCCAGAUGCUUGUUCUUUUUGGGUGACUAUACUCGUUUGGUGCUCACAGAACCGAAACCAAUCAAAAUGAAUUAAAAGAAGAGGGCUGGGUGUGAUGACUCAUGCUUGUAAUACCAGCACUUUGGGAGGCUGAUGCGGGAGGAUUGCUUGAGGCUGAGAGUUCGAGACAAGCCUGGUAACAUGGGAGACCCUAGCUCUCCAAAAAAAAAAAAAAAAAAAGAAAAAGAAAAUUAGCCAGGUGUGGUCGUGUAUGCCUGUAGUUCUAGCUACUUGGGAGGCUGAGGCGGGAAGAUUAUUUGAGCUUGGGAGACCGAGGCUGCAGUGAGCUGUGAUUGUGCCACUGCACUCUACUCUCCAACCUGGGUGCCUGAGUGAGACCCUGUCUCUAAAAAAAAGAAAAAAGGGAAGAAGAGUUCACUUGAUAUUUUAGCAGCUAAGUGCUUUGUCAUUGCUUUUGUGAGUUGUAUAUAGAGCCAACGUUACCUACCAUAUGUAAAAUUAGAAAUUUUCUGUUUGAUCCAAUCUUUCCUCCAUCCCCCCGA